rnacentral:rRNA from 1 species
GAUGAACGCUGGCGGCGUGCCUAAUACAUGCAAGUCGAGCGAACGGACGAUAAGCUUGCGUCUCUGAUGUUAGCGGCGGACGGGUGAGUAACACGUGUAUAACCUACCUAUAAUACUGGGAUAACUUCGGGAAACCGGAGCUUAUACCGGAUAAUAUUUUGAACCGCAUGGUUCAAAAGUGAGAGACGGUCUUGCUGUCACUUAUAGAUGGAUCCGCGCUGCAUUAGCUAGUUGGUAAGGUCACGGCUUACCAAGGCGACGAUGCAUAGACGACGUGAGAGGGUGAUAGGCGACACUGGAACGGGGCCACGGACAAGAGGACUGCGGGAGGGAGCAGUAGGGAAUGUGACGCAAUGGGCGAAAACCUGACAGAGCAACGGCACGUGAGUGACGGAGGUGUUCGGAGCGGAAAGCUCUGUUACGAGGGAAGAACAGAUGUGUACGGAAAUGUGGAGAGAUUGACGGUAACUAAUCAAGAAGCAACGGCUAACUACGUG